rnacentral:pre_miRNA from 1 species
UUGGAGUACUUUGAAGACUUUAAUUUGCAUACUUGGAAGAUUUGAAGACUUCAGCUUGCAUACUUGAAAGAUUUGAAGACAUCAACU